GAAUAAGCAGCUUAGUGGCCUUAGCUUUGCAAAAGCUAAUGAGAAGAUUUACUUCCUUAUUCU
rnacentral:tRNA from 2 species